UGAGAAAGUACGCCAAUGGAACUGAACCGGUCCAGAUUCUCUUACGGAGGCAGCAGUGGGAUCUUGCACAAUUGGCGCAAGCUGAUGCAGGCACGCCGCGUGGGGGAUGACGCUCGGUCGUAAACUCUUCGUCAGGAAGAAGCCUUUUGGGUGACGGUACCUGAGAAGAAGCACCGGCUAACUACGUGCCAGCAGCGCGGUAAUACGUAGGGUGCGAGGCGUUGUCAGGAAUUAUUGGGCGUAAAGAGCUUGUAGGCGGUUUGUCGCGUCUGCGGUGAAAACCCGGGGCUUAACGUUGGGCGUGCCGUGGGUACGGGCAGGCUAGAGUGUGGUAGGGGAGACUGGAAUUCCUGGUGUAGCGGUGAAAUGCGCAGAUAUCAGGAGGAACACCGAUGGCGAAGGCAGGUCUCUGGGCCAUAACUGACGCUGAGAAGCGAAAGCAUGGGGAGCGAACAGGAUUAGAUACCCUGGUAGUCCAUGCCGUAAACGUUGGGCGCUAGGUGUGGGGCUCAUUCCACGAGUUCUGUGCCGCAGCUAACGCAUUAAGCGCCCCGCCUGGGGAGUACGGCCGCAAGGCUAAAACUCAAAGGAAUUGACGGGGGCCCGCACAAGCGGCGGAGCAUGCGGAUUAAUUCGAUGCAACGCGAAGAACCUUACCAAGGC
rnacentral:rRNA from 1 species